rnacentral:rRNA from 1 species
UACGGAGGGGGUUAGCGUUGUUCGGAAUUACUGGGCGUAAAGCGCGCGUAGGCGGACCAGAAAGUUGGGGGUGGGAUCCCGGGGCUCAACCCCGGAACGGCCUCCAAAACUCCUGGUCUUGAGUUCGAGAGAGGUGAGUGGAAUUCCGAGUGUAGAGGUGAAAUUCGUAGAUAUUCGGAGGAACACCAGUGGCGAAGGCGGCUCACUGGCUCGAUACUGACGCUGAGGUGCGAAAGUGUGGGGAGCAAACAGG